GAAAUGCGAUAAUUAAUGUGAAUUGCAGAAUUCAGUGAAUCAUCGAGUCUUUGAACGCACAUUGCGCCCCCUGGUAUUCCAGGGGGCAUGCCUGUCCGAGCGUCAUUGCUGCCCUCAAGCACGGCUUGUGUGUUGGGCUUCCGUCCCUGGCAACGGGGACGGGCCCAAAAGGCAGUGGCGGCACCAUGUCUGGUCCUCGAGCGUAUGGGGCUUUGUCACCCGCUCCCGUAGGUCCAGCUGGCAGCUAGCCUCGCAACCAAUCUUUUUAACCAGGUUGACCUCGGAUCAGGUAGGGAUACCCGCUGAACUUAAGC
rnacentral:misc_RNA from 1 species